rnacentral:lncRNA from 1 species
GGGGUUUCAUUCGGCCAUGAUCUGAAGGUACCUUACCAGUGAUCUAGGUCCACGGUUGAUUGCUUGAAAGGGAUCCUAUGGGUUUCCAAAUUGAUUAGGUCGGUUGGAUCUGGGUUUCCCAUGGGACCAAGACAGAUAAGGCCGGGAGUUUCUGUGAGACGAAUGGUAAUCUGAUGCCUAACCACCUAAAAAAGGAAAAAAGCGGAAGUAAGAACGGAUCUAAGGUAAAUGCGUUAUUAUUAAAGAAAGAGAAGUUUCGGUAACAACCUCUGGGAUGCAUCUCAUCGUGGUUGGCGGGAUCGCCGGUGGAGCUACGGAUGCUGAAGCCGCUGCUGGGACCUCAGUCGAAGCUCCAACCCCUGCCGAUGGAGCUCCCGCUCCCGCCGAUGGAGCCGCCGCCGUUGCCGCUGGAGUUGCUACUGGUGGAGCUGUCUCUGGGGCUUCGGGUGUUGGGGAGGUGCCUGAGGGUGUUGCCAUUGGAAAAGUGGAGUGGAAUGUAGAUGGAAGGAGAUGCCAGAAGGAAAGACUGGAGGCUAAGGAAGGUGCCGGAGGAAGAAGAAGAUCAGUGCGUUAAAGAAGGAGGACGUGAGUUCGUGAAGAGGAGUACGGGGGGAGCUGAUAUUUAAAGGUGGUCUGAGAAGGGGUAAAAAAGGAAUUUUUACUGCGCCGGCGUUUCGAUUUUUUUGGGAGGAGUGGUUGUCGUGGGCGCCCGUUUCGAAAAGAUUGCAAUCAUCAGGCUGGAGACCACGAAACAGAAGGAUAUUUUCAAUGCGUUUGUUUCGGAAAGGAAGUUGAAAAGAAUUUUGAAGUAAAGAUUAUGUUUUACUCCGAAACUGGGGGGCAUGUGUUGACGCCAGAUUUUGACACAUAUGAAAUCGACGUCAAGAAGGGAAGAAAUUAGGAGAUGCGGCAAGACACGGAGGUCGCGAUUUGGAAUCGGCCGAUUGGUGCUACAGUUGAGGAUCGACCGGUUGGUGCUACAGGUGAGGAUCAGCCGAUUAGUGCUGCAGUAUUUCGGUGGAUGGAGUUGGUGGAAAUCGGCCGAUUGGGAGGCUAGAGCAAUUGGGCCAAUAUGGGCUUAAAAUGAACUAUGAAGAUAAAGAGGGGAUCGGCCCAUGGGAUCGUGAUGAUCGACUCCAAUACGAAUCAUACUUGUAAAUAUUUGUUUUCGUUUAAAACUAGAGAUAGAGUCCUAGUCGGUUAAGAGAUUGGUUGUAACAGGCUAUAAAUAGCCGCCUUCAUAGAUCUGUAAUCAUCAUCAAAUCAAUACAACAAACUAUUUUUUCCUCGCACUUACUUUCGAGCAGGCGACUUCGCCAAUACUUUUCUUCUUUUCACGAGUUCGUACGGGUUGGCGGGGCUGCAUCAACUUGAUCUCCGGCCGAUUCUGUAAGUUCCGCUUAUCGAGUAAUAUCUAAGCUUUAACUUCGGGCGCAUCGCUGUUGUUUCGUUUAGAUUUAUU